rnacentral:misc_RNA from 1 species
GAUGAAGAACGUAGCGAAAUGCGAUAAGUAAUGUGAAUUGCAGAAUUCAGUGAAUCAUCGAAUCUUUGAACGCACAUUGCGCCCGCCAGCAUUCUGGCGGGCAUGCCUGUUCGAGCGUCAUUUCAACCCUCGAGCCCCCCCGGGGGCCUCGGUGUUGGGGGGCGGCACACCAGCCGCCCCCGAAAUGCAGUGGCGACCCCGCCGCAGCCUCCCCUGCGUAGUAGCACACACCUCGCACCGGAGCGCGGAGGCGGUCACGCCGUAAAACGCCCAACUUUCUUAGAGUUGACCUCGGAUCAGGUAGGAAUACCCGCUGAACUUAAGCAUAUCAAUAAGCGGAGGA